UACGUAGGGCGCAAGCGUUAUCCGGAAUUAUUGGGCGUAAAGAGCUCGUAGGCGGUUUGUCGCGUCUGCCGUGAAAGCCCGUGGCUUAACUACGGGUCUGCGGUGGAUACGGGCAGGCUAGAGGCUGGUAGGGGCAAGCGGAAUUCCUGGUGUAGCGGUGAAAUGCGCAGAUAUCAGGAGGAACACCGGUGGCGAAGGCGGCUUGCUGGGCCAGUUCUGACGCUGAGGAGCGAAAGCGUGGGGAGCGAACAGG
rnacentral:rRNA from 1 species